UAGGGAAUCUUCCACAAUGGACGAAAGUCUGAUGGAGCAACGCCGCGUGAGUGAAGAAGGGUUUCGGCUCGUAAAACUCUGUUGUUAAAGAAGAACAUAUCUGAGAGUAACUGUUCAGGUAUUGACGGUAUUUAACCAGAAAGCCACGGCUAACUACGUGCCAGCAGCCGCGGUAAUACGUAGGUG
rnacentral:rRNA from 1 species